GCUGUGAUGGCCGAGAGGUUAAGGCCGGUUUGGAUUCGAAAUCCAAUGGGGUUUCCCCGCGCAGGUUCCAACCCUGCUCACAGCG